rnacentral:rRNA from 1 species
CAGUCGAGGGGCAGCAUCAUCAAAGCUUGCUUUGAUGGAUGGCGACCGGCGCACGGGUGAGUAACACGUAUCCAACCUGCCGACAACACUGGGAUAGCCUUUCGAAAGAAAGAUUAAUACCGGAUGGCAUAGUUUUUCCGCAUGGGAUAAUUAUUAAAGAAUUUCGGUUGUCGAUGGGGAUGCGUUCCAUUAGGCAGUUGGCGGGGUAACGGCCCACCAAACCAACGAUGGAUAGGGGUUCUGAGAGGAAGGUCCCCCACAUUGGAACUGAGACACGGUCCAAACUCCUACGGGAGGCAGCAGUGAGGAAUAUUGGUCAAUGGACGAGAGUCUGAACCAGCCAAGUAGCGUGAAGGAUGACUGCCCUAUGGGUUGUAAACUUCUUUUAUACGGGAAUAAAGUUAGCCACGUGUGGCUUUUUGUAUGUACCGUAUGAAUAAGGAUCGGCUAACUCCGUGCCAGCAGCCGCGGUAAUACGGAGGAUCCGAGCGUUAUCCGGAUUUAUUGGGUUUAAAGGGAGCGUAGGCGGGUUGUUAAGUCAGUUGUGAAAGUUUGCGGCUCAACCGUAAAAUUGCAGUUGAUACUGGCGACCUUGAGUGCAACAGAGGUAGGCGGAAUUCGUGGUGUAGCGGUGAAAUGCUUAGAUAUCACGAAGAACUCCGAUUGCGAAGGCAGCUUACUGGA